rnacentral:rRNA from 1 species
GACGAACGCUGGCGGCGUGCUUAACACAUGCAAGUCGAGCGGUAAGGCCCUUCGGGUACACGAGCGGCGAACGGGUGAGUAACACGUGGGUGACCUGCCUCUAGCUCUGGGAUAAGCCUGGGAAACUGGGUCUAAUACCGGAUAUGACUCCACGGCGCAUGUUGUGGGGUGGAAAGCCUUGUGUGGCUAGAGAUGGGCCCGCGGCCUAUCAGCUUGUUGGUGGGGNGAUGGCCUACCAAGGCGACGACGGGUAGCCGGCCUGAGAGGGCGACCGGCCACACUGGGACUGAGACACGGCCCAGACUCCUACGGGAGGCAGCAGUGGGGAAUCUUGCGCAAUGGGCGAAAGCCUGACGCAGCGACGCCGCGUGAGGG